GGGAUGUUGCUCAGUGGUAGAGCAUUUGUCUAGCAUGUGUAAGACACUGGGUUCAAUCCCCAGCACUCA
rnacentral:tRNA from 1 species